CCUUCGAUAGCUCAGUUGGAAGAGCGUGGGACUGUAAUGGAUACACUACGAAAUCCCGAGGUCACUGGUUCGAUCCCGGUUCGAAGGA